rnacentral:lncRNA from 1 species
CGCUUCCUCUGGCCCCGCCCUCCGUCUUCUUGGCUGGACCCCCGUGAGAGCCAGCAGAGGAGGGCAAGGAGAAUGGGAGCUUCCCCACUCCGGGAGAGGCCUCGGGUCUGUGGAUGGCAAGCCCUCCUGGUGGCUCUUGGACGAGCUCCUGGGUCAUCCCUGGUGACUGUGCAGAAAGGAGGAUGGUGCCCUGCUUCCCAGAACAGAGCGGCUCAGCAUUCCACGUUAGAGCGGCCAAAGAACUGUGAACAACAGCAGACCGGCUCCCGGGCGCUUCUACGGUCACUGAGGGCACUGCAGCACGGAGCCCGGGGAGGGGCGGGGGCUCUGGCCAGCUGGCGUGCGGGGCACUUGGGGGAUGCCUGGUGUGCUCCCCCGUGCUCCCAGCUGCCUGGCAGUUCCCUGGAGAAGGGGCCACUCCUCCUUUAUUUUUGCUUGUGGCCUGGAAAGAAGGUGCCCCAGUCCUCCACUGAGUUCCUGCAGAUCCUCUUCCAGGAGCCUGGAAGCUUCAGAGAGCCAAGGCCCCCAGAGAUGCUGCUCCAAGAGGUGCGACCUUUCAUGGUUAUCCCUAGCCAGGCCAGCACCCCUGACAGGUCACCAGGGAGACCCCGGGCUGUGUGUCCCCGAGCUCUGAGCUGCGAUCCGGGAGAAAGCAAGUGUUCCCUGAGACGGAUGCGGCCUGGGCCAACCGAGCAGCUGGCCCUGCUGAGCAGAGGAUGGUACUGGCCUCACUUCCCGACUCCUGAUGACCAUUGGGGAGGGGCCCCAAGAAUCCAGCAUGACCUGCCACCCCAGAGCGCCUGGUGGCCUUGUGGCUCCAACGGGACGAUUAAACACAUACAUGGCAAUUGUUACUGUUGCCAGCGGUGAUGGGGACAAUGAGGACCAGGUGUGCUCUCCCUGGCCGCACUGCGGCUGGGGGCCCGCAGCCUCAAACCAGAACAAAGCCGAUGGGGCCCUGCCCGGGCGAGAGGCUGCCGUGUCUGAGGGCCGGAGCCUCGCUGUCCAAUGGCAAGCCGCCCUUGCUGCUCACAUUUAAACUCAGAGGAAACACAAGUGUAAAACUUCAUUCUUGAGUAGCACUGGCCACGUCCCAGAGGCCCCCACAGCCACACGUGGCUGGUGGGCACCAGAUCGG